rnacentral:rRNA from 1 species
UACGUAGGGGGCUAGCGUUGUCCGGAUUUAUUGGGCGUAAAGAGCGUGUAGGCGGCCGAGUAAGUCCGGUGUGAAAACUCGAGGCUUAACCUCGAGAUGUCAUCGGAAACUAUUCGGCUAGAGUCCGGAAGAGGAGAGUGGAAUUCCUGGUGUAGCGGUGAAAUGCGCAGAUAUCAGGAAGAACACCUAUGGCGAAGGCAGCUCUCUGGGACGGUACUGACACUGAGACGCGAAAGCGUGGGGAGCGAACAGG